rnacentral:rRNA from 1 species
AUUGAACGCUGGCGGCAGGCCUAACACAUGCAAGUCGAACGAGUGGCGGACGUGUGAGUAAUGUCUGGGAACCUGCCUGAUGGAGGGGGAUAACUACUGGAAACGGUAGCUAAUACCGCAUACCAUCGGAUGUGCCCAGAUGGGAUUAGCUAGUAGGUGGGGUAAAGGCUCACCUAGGCGACGAUCCCUAGCUGGUUUGAGAGGAUGAGCAGCCACACUGGAACUGAGACACGGUGCAGACGCCUACGGGAGUCCGCAGUGGGGAAUAUUGCACAAUGGGAGCAAGCCUGAUGGCUCCAUGCCGCGUGUAUGAAGAGGGCCUUCGGGUUUUAAAGUACUUUCAGCGGGGAGGCGUUACCCGCAGAAGAAGCACCGGCUAACUCCGUGCCAGCAGCCGCGGUAAUAC